GGUGAAAAGCCCGCUCGCCGGAAGACCAAGGGUUCCUGUCCAACGUUAAUCGGGGCAGGGUGAGUCGACCCCUAAGGCGAGGCCGAAAGGCGUAGUCGAUGGGAAACAGGUUAAUAUUCCUGUACUUGGUGUUACUGCGAAGGGGGGACGGAGAAGGCUAUGUUGGCCGGGCGACGGUUGUCCCGGUUUAAGCGUGUAGGCUGGUUUUCCAGGCAAAUCCGGAAAAUCAAGGCUGAGGCGUGAUGACGAGGCACUACGGUGCUGAAGCAACAAAUGCCCUGCUUCCAGGAAAAGCCUCUAAGCAUCAGGUAACAUCAAAUCGUACCCCAAACCGACACAGGUGGUCAGGUAGAGAAUACCAAGGCGCUUGAGAGAACUCGGGUGAAGGAACUAGGCAAAAUGGUGCCGUAACUUCGGGAGAAGGCACGCUGAUAUGUAGGUGAAGUCCCUUGCGGAUGGAGCUGAAAUCAGUCGAAGAUACCAGCUGGCUGCAACUGUUUAUUAAAAACACAGCACUGUGCAAACACGAAAGUGGACGUAUACGGUGUGACGCCUGCCCGGUGCCGGAAGGUUAAUUGAUGGGGUUAGCGGUAACGCGAAGCUCUUGAUCGAAGCCCCGGUAAACGGCGGCCGUAACUAUAACGGUCCUAAGGUAGCGAAAUUCCUUGUCGGGUAAGUUCCGACCUGCACGAAUGGCGUAAUGAUGGCCAGGCUGUCUCCACCCGAGACUCAGUGAAAUUGAACUCGCUGUGAAGAUGCAGUGUACCCGCGGCAAGACGGAAAGACCCCGUGAACCUUUACUAUAGCUUGACACUGAACAUUGAGCCUUGAUGUGUAGGAUAGGUGGGAGGCUUUGAAGUGUGGACGCCAGUCUGCAUGGAGCCGACCUUGAAAUACCACCCUUUAAUGUUUGAUGUUCUAACGUUGGCCCCUAAUCGGGGUUGCGGACAGUGUCUGGUGGGUAGUUUGACUGGGGCGGUCUCCUCCUAAAGAGUAACGGAGGAGCACGAAGGUUGGCUAAUCCUGGUCGGACAUCAGGAGGUUAGUGCAAUGGCAUAAGCCAGCUUGACUGCGAGCGUGACGGCGCGAGCAGGUGCGAAAGCAGGUCAUAGUGAUCCGGUGGUUCUGAAUGGAAGGGCCAUCGCUCAACGGAUAAAAGGUACUCCGGGGAUAACAGGCUGAUACCGCCCAAGAGUUCAUAUCGACGGCGGUGUUUGGCACCUCGAUGUCGGCUCAUCACAUCCUGGGGCUGAAGUAGGUCCCAAGGGUAUGGCUGUUCGCCAUUUAAAGUGGUACGCGAGCUGGGUUUAGAACGUCGUGAGACAGUUCGGUCCCUAUCUGCCGUGGGCGCUGGAGAACUGAGGGGGGCUGCUCCUAGUACGAGAGGACCGGAGUGGACGCAUCACUGGUGUUCGGGUUGUCAUGCCAAUGGCACUGCCCGGUAGCUAAAUGCGGAAGAGAUAAGUGCUGAAAGCAUCUAAGCACGAAACUUGCCCCGAGAUGAGUUCUCCCUGACUCCCUGAGAGUCCUGAAGGAACGUUGAAGACGACGACGUUGAUAGGCCGGGUGUGUAAGCGCAGCGAUGCGUUGAGCUAACCGGUACUAAUGAACCGUGAGGCUUAACCUU
rnacentral:rRNA from 1 species